rnacentral:rRNA from 1 species
AACGAACGCUGGCGGCAUGCCUAACACAUGCAAGUCGAACGAGACCUUCGGGUCUAGUGGCGCACGGGUGCGUAACGCGUGGGAACCUGCCCUUAGGUUCGGAAUAACUCCCCGAAAGGGGUGCUAAUACCGGAUAAUGUCUUCGGACCAAAGAUUUAUCGCCUUUGGAUGGGCCCGCGUUGGAUUAGCUAGUUGGUAGGGUAAAAGCCUACCAAGGCGACGAUCCAUAGCUGGUCUGAGAGGAUGAUCAGCCACACUGCGACUGAGACACGGCCCAGACUCCUACGGGAGGCAGCAGUGGGGAAUAUUGGACAAUGGGCGAAAGCCUGAUCCAGCAAUGCCGCGUGAGUGAUGAAGGCCUUAGGGUUGUAAAGCUCUUUUACCCGGGAUGAUAAUGACAGUACCGGGAGAAUAAGCUCCGGCUAACUCCGUG